GGAAUUUCAGGUUCUCUUUGAUUUGUUUCCAAUGUCCAGAGGGUAGAUUCUACCUUGAAAUUCUCAUUGGCCAAUGGAGUGUCAUCUCUUGAGAUUCAACAGCAUAUAUGACAGCAGAGGAGUGCUAACACUGCCAACAUCCUUUGUGAGCUGAAUCUGACCAGAUUUCUGUGCUGACCAAUAUCACUGAAUUUGGAAUGAUGGGACCCCUGGUCUUUGCCAUCUUCUUGCUACUGCUUUCAGGGACCAAAAUGUCCCCAAAACCAAGAAAAUGGUGUGAUUCUCUGGAAUACGAGGACUUUGCUCUUUCAAAUACCAGAACUGGGGAGUCUGAAUCAUGGAGCAAAGCCUACUUCAACCAUGGAGUAGUCUACAUAUAUGAGAACUACCAGCAGAGGGCAAAACCUCAUUUCGGAUGGGAAAAUGUGGAGAACUGGGAUGAGGUGAGCAAACUUCAGAAAGAGAGACAAGAUUUCAUCAUGAAGGACUUUCAAGAAUUCCUAAACUCCAAAAAAGAUAAGAAAGGUUUAUAUUUCUUUAAAAGAGGUUUUGGCUGUUCACUUUGUCCAAAUCGCACUUUCAAGGUAACUGGGUAUUGGGAUUGGGAUACAAGUGGUACCCUGGGUACCUUUACGCAUACAGAGUACCAGUUAACAAAAGAUUCUGAAGCUGAAAUGAACCAAGACCCAGGUGCUGUAAUUCUACCCGAAGAAUAUCUGGAGAAACAGUGUUUUGCAACACUCCAAAAAUACCGGAAUUAUAGGAAUGCUUACUAGGACAAACCAGGUAAUCUGUCUACCUCCUGUUGUUACACUUACUAUGAUUGGGUAACUUUCGAGGCUGGGAACAACACCCUGAACACUAGAUGGCCUAAAAUUGACUCAUAUUUUAAAGCCUGAAGAUUUCCUCCCUCUCAAAAUUCUAUUAAUCAUGGAAAAAUGGGGCUUGAAAAUAUGAAUUCAGACAACUCUAUAGGUCUCUUGGAAUUGAGAUAACAAUCCUUAUCAACUGAGGGCUCCUGGGCAUUGUGAGAGUCACAGGAAAACAUAGAGGCUUAGAUGGGAAGAAUAAUGAAAUAAGAAAAAGAAACCUCCCAUUACAAGCCUCAGCCCUUCUUGUUUCUCUUCAUUCAUCAUAUAUCAGCUUUUCAAUAGGAACCCUGUCCCCCUUCUUAAGCACCUCUUAUGUAGCUUCUGAUGGGAAUCCCCAGGCUACACAGGAAAUCAAACCAUGUCAUUGACCCAUUCCCCAAAGUCAUUCCUCUCUGAGAGCUUAGAGGCAGCUAAGUGGUGCCCUGGAUAGAGUCCUCGGCCUGGAGUCAGGAAGAUUUGAGACUGAAUCAGGUCUCAUUCGUUUAGAGCUGAUGUGACCUUUGGGAAGCUACUGUUUCCUUCAGUGUAAUGAGGAUAAGGAUAGCACCUACCUCCCUAAAUUGGUGUGAGGAAUAAAUCAGAUAACAUUUACAAUUGCUGAGAAAAUACUGGUGAUUAACAAACACUUGUUCCUUUCCAUUUUUCAUUUAUGUUGUUUCUCAUCUGCAAUGAGCUUCCAUCCUCCUACUUAGCUAAUGCUUUCCUACUCUUUAAGACUUGUUUCAAAUCCCUCCAGAACUCUCCCUUUUCUAAAGUUUCCUCCCAUGUUAUGGUCAUUUUUACUUCAUUUAGAAACAUCCUUCUGAAUGUUUUCCUGAAUAUAAGAGCAGGGAUCACACCCUCCCUUUCCUUGCACCCUCUCAGUAAGCAGGGGUAUUGAUACUAGAAGAGGCUGAAUAAGUGUUUGCUUUUUUAACUGAAAAUUUCAUAUGUAAGGGGGAAAGGCAGGCGAUUUGGUGCAGAGGAGAAGAAAAUGUGGAAUAAUUUCUGUGGGGAAGCUACAACUUAUUGGAAAAAAUGAAUUUGAGUAGAUACUAUGCAGAAACUGAUUUGGGAUAAUAUGUGAAAGUAAAGGAAGAAUAGUGAGAAGGACAGAGUCCAGAGGAAGUUGGUGGUGGAAGCAAUGUUGGAGUUGAAGGUGAGAAACUAGGACAUGCUGGGAGAACUGUGAGAGCUACAGAUAACUGCUCAGAGGAGGAGAGGCAAGAAGAGAAAGAAGUCAUAAAUAAUAAAUGAACCACUUGGCUAAAGUAUAUGUUUCAACAGAUGGCCAAGAGUGAGGAGACCUUAGCAAUGAUGAUCUCUUAAAGUCAGCUUUAGGGAAAAAGAGCAGCUGUGCAGGUUUUCGCCUCCAUGAUGACUUCCCUCAACUAUACUGUCACUCACUGUUGUAAAAAUGGAGACUUGAAGCCAGGACUCCAGUCCCCAGAAGUCCUUGCUCAGUUCCCAGAAUGCUUUGUAAUUACACUGAAUUCUCACCUGGGAGAGAUCACAAAUUAUUAUUUAAAGGAGUUCUCCACCUCCUGAAGGGCUAUUUUUCCUACCAUCUGCUUUGGGGCACACGCUGCUCUCCACCUAGCAGGAAAGAUGUGAGUGGUUGUGCUUUUCUUACUUGUAUUUUCUUAAAUUCCUUAUCUUAAAUAAAACUGUUAAAAAUAUAAUACUCCUUGCAGAGAGAAACUAAUUUCUACCUGCCUCAGUUUCCCCCCAAAUUUUAAUCUUUACAGUUAUUGUGACCACUAGAUUGGAUGAGAACUUCUCAAAUUUUUUAGCCUAGAAAUUUUUUUUAAAGCCACGUUUCUCUAAGAUGCUUUUUAAGAAAACCCCGCUUUGGACUUCCUUGAGCCCUUUCCUUAGCCCAGCUGGACUUGGCCUGGCUGCGUUCCUGCCUCUGCCCCAGACUAGUUUGCUGUUUGACCCAGAUUGCAGCUCACCUGCCCACCCUGGCUGCCCACUCCUGCUCCAGCUGCUGCUCCUGGUCUUUCUCUUGAUCACCCUGUCCCUGUUUAACCCAGAUCAAGAUCACCUCAUGACCUGACUGCCCAACAAACUCUAGCCUUGGAGCAGAUCACUCAUUAUCCAGGACUGAUUUCUAAUAGCUGGUAAAAAAACGGGGGUAUUGGCGGAGGAUCGUAGGAGGGGAGAGAGAAAAGGGAGAGAAGAAGAAAGACUUUCCGAACAGGAACAUAAAAGCAUGGCUAUUUUAUAAGGAUAUCUUUUAAUUGCAUUGAUCCUUUUAUUGACUUCACCUGUGUGUCAGAAAAAAAUUCAGCUCCCUACAUCCCUUUAGCUAACUUUGGGCAGGCAGCUGGGUAUCUUAGCGAACUGAGAGCCAGGCCUAGAGAGGGCAGGUCCUGGGUUGGAAUCUGGCCUCAGACACUUGCUGGCGGCAUGGCCCUGAGCAGGUCAUUUAACCCCCAUUGCUGAACCGCUUUCCUGCCUUCUGACAAUAGGCAUCUAAAUGGAUAAAAACCCAAAGAACGCUAAAGAGACCAGAGGUUAUAUUUUUAAGGCAUUUCAGACUCCAAUGUUUUAUAAAGAUCUCUGUAUUUCUAUUGUAUUUUACUGUUUGCUUUGUUUAUGGAUUUAACUUUGUGAUUUUAAGUUCAUAUAUUCUGCACUCAAGAUUAUUCCAUUACACUGAAUUAUUUUAUGUAGUCAAGGCAUUGCCGUAAAGGCAGAACCAUAAGGGUUAAGUCUCCUCUUCUCUCUGUUUGGGCUGCAUAGUCAGGGUCGUGGGUUGAACUGUGUACGACCUGCCCAGCUAUGUGCUCAAGGUUGGAGUAGCAUCAGAGGGAGGAGUGAUAAGGUUUGUGAGAAAGAAACUGUAAGGUUGGAGUAGCCAGCAGAGGACUGAUAAGGGUUGUGAGAAAUUGUGAGAGACUGUGGGAAAGUUGCUUCUCUGUCUGUUUGGAAUCCUCUCAGUUCUUCCCUGUGCCUGGCAGGUAACGUCAUGAAUUUCUAUGAAUCUGUCCAAUUAUUGGUUCCUGCUGUUGCUGGGCAGUAACAUCAUAUCUUCCUGUGGUCUUAACCUAUAUAUUGCUUUGUUUGAACUCAAUAAAGGGUUGUUAUGCUUUUUCAUAUAGCUUCCAUUCAUCACUCUGUAUGUUCAUUACCCCAGGCAAGGUCACGAUGAGCCUUGCAAUUUUAAUGUACUGAGUUUUAACUACUGUUAAAUUCUAUUGCUUUUCCCCCAUAACCACAUUGAACAAAUAUCAUUGUAAUUAAGCUCAUAUAUGAAAAUAGCCGUUCUAUUUUUGCCUUUGUAAAUUGUCACAUAGAGGAUGGAUGGACUUCAUCAGAACUGGUUACAAUUGUAUAACAACCUUUGGAAAAUUUAAUGUGCUAAAUAUCUCAACGAAUUUUAAGGAUUUUCUCGACAUGGUUUUUAGAAUUUUUUCUUAACAAUCUCUGGUCAUUUUUGCCUGCCCUUACAAUGAGGUGUACAGCCCAUUCUAGUAGCUGAAGUGAAAUACAAUUAUAACCCCCAACCUUCCUGCAUUUCUAAAUAUGUGAAUGGAUGUUGGGGCAUUUAAUUUCAGGUCAUUUGUAUCCCUAAAAAAGCCUCCAAAAAGGAGCACCCCUCAUUUAUACUAUUCAGCCCACUACUUUACUUCCCCGAGAAUGAUCUCUAGAUUUCUUGAUGAUGUUCUAAAUCCAACAUAAAUUUUACUUUGUUUAAAAAUAUGUUUAUUUAUUACCAAGGUUGAAAGAUUUGCUAUGUCUGUAAUAACUUGUGACAAGUAUCCAUUUAAAAAAAUGCCAUACAGCAACUUAUGUGAAAUAUGAUAGUGUGUUUGUUUGCUAUUGUAAUUAAUUAGGCUAUUGAGAAUUUUGGGGAUAUUGAUAACUACAUAUUUGUACUACUGUUUUUUUAAAAAUGAAAAAUGUUACUUUGUUCAAUUCAUUUGCUCAUACUCACAGUGGAUCAUGGCCAGAUAUGAAGAGGAAAUGGAUCUCAUUUUGGUGAGAAAGCCUUGCAUUCUAUAUUUUCUUAGCUGACAUAGUGUGUCAAUGAUAUAAGCUAUACUUUUAUUUUUAAAACUCUUUUAUUAUAUUUUUCUUUCAUGUGCAAUAUACUAUUUCAGUUUUUUAAUUUUUCUCUCCUUUUUAUAUUUGACACCAGUAUUAAGUUUUUCUUUAACUUUCUGAUUUUUCAGUAAUAUAAGUUUAAAAUACAUUUGCUAAUGCAUGCCCCUAAAGCUUGAGACUAUAAAAUGAUUCCACUAAUUAUUUAAAAAAAAUUAUGGGUCUUUGCUUAAUAAUUCUGUCUGAUUCCAGGAAAAGAUAUACACAAAAGAGCCAUUGCAUAGGGCCAAAGAAAAGCCAACCCAGGAUGGAUUGAUGCACUACUAAGCCAAUACAAAGGUCUUGAACCUAGUGUGAAGACUCGAGGUUACUGUGUUUAACAUUGUUAAGACAUAGGCUUUCCUUGUGUCCACACUCACUCUGAAAAUAUUUACAGAUGAGUAUCCCCAAUCUUGGCUCCUACUUGGCUUCUAUAAUCUGGUUCCUUUUUUCUGUCUUUCACAGUGUGGUAAUUUUCUGUAGUCCCAGCUGGGUAAAUGCAUCAUUGCUUCGAUCAUUUUAAUUGGGCCCUGAUUCAAGGACCUGUUAUAGAUAUAUUUUUCUUUUAUUUGGAAUUUUUACACAUAAGACUUUGAUAGUCUAUAUUUGCAUCCAGAAAUUUUUCUUUUUUCUUUGGAUUGUUCUGAUGUCUUUUUAAUUUCUCUUACCAAUUGGCUCAUAUACCUCAUACCUCAGCCAUGCAUCCAUAAGUGAUCCUGUGUUUUUUUUUUUUCCAAUCACCCACAACACAAGGGAAAUGUAAAAAAUGUUAUUUAAAUUGCAAAGUUUAAACUCCUUUUGAGAAGAAUUUCAGGAAAAGAAAGAUACUACCUCUCUGAAUCCAGAAACUAAAAUGUUGGAGAAGAAACCAUGAAGAAGCCUCCAGACCACAAGCUGCACAAGAAUGAACUUUGGGUGUAAUUGAUUGAAUUUUUUGAAAAUAAUUGAUUGAACUUGAUUGAAUUGAUUGAUUUGUAGUAUACUUUCAUGCCAAAGGGGACUUCCCCCUAACUGGCUUUUUGUCAAUGCAUCCAGCAAUUAUUGGUUCUGUCCUUUUUUUCUCUUAUCCUCAAAUUAUUGUAAUCUUUAAGUUGAUUAUAUUUUCAUGAUCCUUUUGGGGAAAAUAUUUUUUUUCAAAAAUGAUCACACGGGAAAAUUUAAAAAUGGAGACUUGAACCCAGGACUCCAGUCCCCAGAAGUCCUUGCUCACUUCCCAGAAUGCUUUGUAAUUCCACUGAAUCUUUACCUGGGCGAGAUCACAAAUUAUUAUUUAAAGAAGUUCUCCACCUACUCCAGGGCUCUUUUUUCUACUUCUGCUUCUGCUUUAGGGAACACAAGGCUCUCCACCUAGCAGGAAAUAUGUUAGCAAUCAUGAAUAGGCUCUCUGGGCCUAGACAUGUGCUUUUUUUACUAGUAUUUUCUUAAAUUCCUUAUCUUAAAUAAAACUCUAAAAAUAUAAUACUCCUUGCAGAGAGAAAAUAAUUUCUACCUGCCUCAGUUUUGUGACAAGGAAAUCACAUUAAAAUACUGAUAUAUAUUAAUUUAAGGUCGCCAAGGAAUUCAGCUAUGUAAUUCCUAAAUGAAAACUCAAGUCAGCAGUCAACCUUUUAUGGAGUUUUUAAUUACAAACAGGAGGAAUAAAGGUAUUAGAGAUAGAGAGAGAGAGGGAGAGAGAAAGGGGAGAGAAGGGAAUAGGGCUUAAAUACCCCUUCUGUUUAGGCUGGGCCAAAAGGCCCAAGCCCUUAGAUAGCUGAGGCAAAGAAAAGAGAUCAGUCCCUAUCACUCACGUGACCAAAAUGGAGAAACAGUCUCAGGGUCCUCCACCUCCAGCUUCCUUCAGAGCAAGCUUCUCCGAGCACAACCUCUCCAACCAACAACCCUAGUCCUCAGACCCUGCUAUCUUUAAGGAAACCAUCCAAGUUCCCUCCCCUCAGUUCUCACAUCUACCAAUCACUGUCCAUGUCUUCCCUGUGCCAAUGGUGGUUCUACCUUAACCCAGGACCACCCAGAGGUCUGUGGCUUUGCACAUGUCUGUUGAAGGCCAUAUUCUCAAGUAAUUAAAUCUUGAUCCUUUGCUACAGCCCUUCCUAAAUCCUGUUACCCUGAGUAGGGUGGAGAUUGGAAUAAUUAAAUUUUGUUCUAUGCUGCAGCCCUUUCUAAAUCCUGUUACCCUGAGUAGGGUGGAAAUUGGAAUAAUUAAAUUUUGAUUUAUGCUGUAGCCCUUUCCAUUAUUCAGCAAAAGGUUUCUGUCCUAAAGUAAUCAAUGCCAAUGGGGUUCACAUUCCAAUGGUGAAAUUUCCAACAUUCACAAGUCUAAGAAAUUUUAAGGUUUACAGUUUUCCCCCCAAAUUUAAUCUUUAUACUGUUCCCUGUCAUUGGAUUUCCAGUCAAGAGGACUAUACAGAUCCUGAUCCUUCCAAGGGAGGACUUAUGAUAUGCGAGAAACAACACUAAGAUGAAUCAAGUAUAUAUCAUUAUAAAAUGAAAUAA